rnacentral:tRNA from 1 species
GCGGAUAUGAUGAAAUUGGCAGACAUGCCAGAUUUAGGCUCUGGUGGGGUGACCCGUGGGGGUUCAAGUCCCUCUAUCCGCA